GCACCGUUGCCCAGCGCUCCCAUCAGCACCUCACAGCUGUCCUCGCGGCCAAAACUGGUGCAGAAAAGGCUGCCCGGCUGGCAGUGAUGAGAGACACAGGAUGACUAACAUCUGGAGAGCACCUCCCAGGAUGUUCCAGACCACUGAACAGAUGCUGCCAUGGCAAGGCCCUGAAGCUUUGGAAAGAAAAGCUGAGACAGAAAAUUCUGAAAGCCCAUUAAGGGACUAAAACCAAGAAACAGGCUCAUCGACUAGAGACUCAAGAUGGGCUUAAGAAACACAACAUCAGGGCUCUCCAGGGAAGUGGUGGGAGCAGCAGGAGCUGCUGCUGGGGGAGCCUCAAGUGGGAAAGUGAAGUGAGGACCUGCGAACGGCCCCUGGGGUCACUCUGGGGACUUCUGAGCUCUGGCCAGGACCCAACUAGGCCGUGGCCAGGAUCCAAGCAGCCCGUAGCCGGGGACAGAGCCACCAGACACUAGGAUUCUACAGGUUUCUAUGGCCAGGCCCUCACCCCAAGCAGGUGCUCCCUGAAACUGACAAGGACAGCGACGAUUCGGGUGGGAGCCGAGUGAGUUAUGGAGCUGAUGCCUCGUAAACAAGUCUGGUGCCCGCCUGUCUUCAUGAAUCACCGCUGAGCCUAAUCCUUCAUUAGAACAUUCAGCAGUAAUUGCUGGCGAAAUGCCACUUGCCUUUUUCUCAUUUUAACAAAACAUUUAUGCAUGAAAGAUUUAAUGCCAGGUAUCAAGCAUAUCAUUGUAAAUUUACCACUAAUUAAGCCUAAUUAAAAUAAUUAAAUGGCUGUGGAGUCACCAUGUGAAUUGAAAUCGCUUCUCCUCCACCAGCCUGUUUCUCACUAGCCAGGCCCCUGUUUCGGAGACAAAUAUAUCUCUUUCUCUUGAUUUUUUUUUCCAACGCCCUGCUCAGCUUCACGCGGGGUAUUUGCACGGCCAAGGAGAUUUGAUAAUUAAGAUAAUGCUGUGAUUUGACGGUGCGGUUUUUCAAUUUCGGGACCCCAGGAGAUUUUCCUUUAUCUCGGUGAAGUAUAGACAAUUUGACAAAUCUGUUGCUCGGAGCAGUCGCUGGCGUUUGCAUAUUCAUUACUCACUGGAUUUUUAAUCAAAGUAGCUGAUGGACCCCUUGCACCACAAAUAACUCGGUCAUGAAUAAUUUAUCCGUGCUCACUUGGCGGGGC